GAUGAACGCUGGCGGCGUGCCUAAUACAUGCAAGUCGAGCGAACGGACGAGAAGCUUGCUUCUCUGAUGUUAGCGGCGGACGGGUGAGUAACACGUGGAUAACCUACCUAUAAGACUGGGAUAACUUCGGGAAACCGGAGCUAAUACCGGAUAAUAUUUUGAACCGCAUGGUUCAAAAGUGAAAGACGGUCUUGCUGUCACUUAUAGAUGGAUCCGCGCUGCAUUAGCUAGUUGGUAAGGUAACGGCUUACCAAGGCAACGAUGCAUAGCCGACCUGAGAGGGGGAUCGGCCACACUGGAACUGAGACACGGUCCAGACUCCUACGGGAGGCAGCAGUAGGGAAUCUUCCGCAAUGGGCGAAAGCCUGACGGAGCAACGCCGCGUGAGUGAUGAAGGUCUUCGGAUCUUAAAACUCUGUUAUUAGGGAAGAACAUAUGUGUAAGUAACUGUGCACAUCUUGACGGUACCUAAUCAGAAAGCCACGGCUAACUACGUG
rnacentral:rRNA from 1 species